UACGUAGGGUGCAAGCGUUGUCCGGAAUUAUUGGGCGUAAAGAGCUCGUAGGCGGUCUGUCGCGUCUGCUGUGAAAAACUCGGGGCUUAACCCCGGGCCUGCAGUGGGUACGGGCAGACUAGAGUGCGGUAGGGGAGACUGGAAUUCCUGGUGUAGCGGUGAAAUGCGCAGAUAUCAGGAGGAACACCGAUGGCGAAGGCAGGUCUCUGGGCCACUACUGACGUGAGAAGCGAAAAGCAUGGGGAGCGAACAGG
rnacentral:rRNA from 1 species